AUUUUUAAAUAAUGAUAAUAAAAAUGUAUUCAUAACUUUUUUUUAAACUUCCUGAACUGAAGAUCUAGGAUUUGGAGAGUAGUAAUUUUUUCAACGCUUUUUUCCGGUGUUAUAGAACAACUCAAAUAAUUCGACAGAUAUUGUACAGGCUUCAUGAUAUAAUACAAACACAUAUUCACUGUUAUAUUAUGUAUAAGCCGGGUGUUUGAACUAUUCUAAUUCCCGAAGACAAUGAAGCCUGUUUAGUUCACUUGUAUGGAUUUUUGGAAUUAUUCAACGCUGUUACGCAACAAAUUAAAAAGCUUUUGCUUAUACAUCAUAAAUGCAUCAUCAUACUCCAUUAGUUAACAUGCAGUUGGUGUUUACUCAUACUUUUGCAAUAUUUGUCGUCAAGCCAAGACAAUUAGACUUUAUUGUAACACAUAGUCCCUAAAAAUAUUAACGAAUCAACUUCUGAGUUGCAUUUGCUAAUAUUGUUGUUUACUUUAAAACCUAAAAUAGACAGUUGUUUUUUUUUUUUUUUUUUUUUUUUUUUCUUCAGGCGUAUUUAUGGUCUGUUAUUAAUACCACAGCAAGUUUAUUUUAUUUAUUUAUUUCUUUUGUUAAAACCCAACAGCCCAGAGGGCCAAUAACAGGGUUACUCAACUGAUACAGAGUUGAAGAUAGUAACAGAGUAUAAACAAUAUUAUAUAAUAUAUAAUGACUCUAUAUAAACCAAAGCUUUAAUUCUUAAAUGCUAAUUAUUUGCUUAUAUUAAUUAAUUAAUCAAUGUUUUCAACGUUUUGACGACAAGCUGAAGGAAAGUAAAGAAUAAAACAAAAGAUAGUUACAUAUUCUUAGAGAUGAUUAUGAUAGGCUUACAAUGUUGAAUUUUUGGUGAUGUAAUCGGAGUAUGUAGUAUUAUCAGUCAGACUGCUAAGGUUUAUUAAGUUUAUAUUUAUUUAUUUAUUUAGUAACCCAAGUUAUAUGUAGCUUGGGUUUUGUCAUCGAAGAACGUAAAAAUAGAAGAAGUAGUAGCUUGCAUUAUUAUUCCCCGCAGAGAACUGGGAUUUUCCAGGUCUAAAUUAACCUCCCGUGUUCUUUGUUGGACACAAAGAAAAAUCAAAGCAAUCUGUCGACUUUGUUGAAAUUUAGUUGUGCUGGCUAACCGUUCCCGGCAGUUGGCAGGGUGUAGAUUAUUUUCGAGGAGUUCAAGUGGGUUAGUCGGAUCACCAGGACAAAGAAAGGGACCACCAGAAAACGUUUGGUAGGACAAAUAGAAACAAAGAGCCACAGCACACUAAUAUACCUAUCCACCCAUGAGAUACAUAAUAACACACACUUUUACUUUGUAGAUGUAAAGGAAGUAGAUACGGGAGAGGGAGAGAGAGAAAGAAAGAAAGAAGAGAGAGACAGCAGAACAACAAGAGGGGAAACAAACAGAAUAACUUGAAAGGGCUCUGUUGUUCAUGUCAAAUUAAACCGUUGACUAGUUUACUGAUUUACGUUUCUAUUUAAUGGAAAUAAUAAUCCAUUAAGGACAAAGGGACUCCAUUUUAACAUCAUCAGUAUUUAAUACUCAUGCUCGGUCAAAUAUAUUGUCAAUAUCUCUCUGAUUGUUGUGUAACAGUUACAGAAUCUUUGGCCAUUAGCCCGGUUCACAAUAGAGCUAUCAAUUCCAACCGUUUGGUUCUUUGUGCCAUUUUAGCUUAAUUAUUAAUUAUUUUAUCAAAGACCCUUUAUAAGGCUCAUGGUGAGAACAUUCCAGUUUUGUUCUUUAUUCAUGAAUUCCUCAAAUGUUGACGGUAUCACGCUAUUGUCUUCAGUCAAUUAUCUACUUUGAGAAUAGAAAAAAAAAAAAACUAACAGAGCAAGCAAUAAAUUGUAGAGAUUUUGUUUAAAAUCUUGUCUCGUCUAGCGUGUCGCGGUUUUGC
rnacentral:lncRNA from 1 species